ensembl:lncRNA
UUCUUCUUUUUUUUGAGUGUUGAAAUGGUUCAAGAUUUGAUGGUCUGACCCGAAAGGCGCAGAGAGGUGAAGAAGAAGAGUCCCUCACUGGGAAACCUUCCAUGAGAGCAGCUGAAGCUUGUCUUACUGCUGCACUUUUUUCCACCCUUCUUUCCAACUAUGUUAUAACCCAUCUUGCUAAAAAAAAAAACACUCCGAAAGUUGAUUUCAUUUCUUUUCUCUUAUGGUUUUGAGUAUCAGGGAAUCUGUAGGGUUGAAACUCCCAAAUCUCUCCUGCGGAACAUUGUUCCACAGAAUAGAUAACCCUGUUCCACAGAAACCUGCCCCUAAAUACAUUUCCCUUUUCUUUUUUUCUUCAUGGAAAAUAUCCUUCAGGCAUUUUUUAAGGAGCGGGGGCAAGUUUCACUACUGAAAAUGCUACAUUAGUGUACAUCUGUAAAUGCACAAAUAAAUAGUAGUUAAAUGAAACUUUCUCUGAAAACAAAGCAAUUACAUAACACAUCUAUGUAGGCUGCACUGUGCAGCUUCUAGAAACGACAUGUUUGGGAGUAUUUAGCAUUUAUGGGGACAAACAUGUCGGGACAAAGGGCAGGACAGGAAACAGAUCUCCCCAACAAAAGACCGUGACACAGUCUCCACAGGGAAGAGAGGGGACACACACACACACACACACACACACACACACACGUUCACAGCCUCUUCCCUGGAGGCAAAUGAUGACAUUUCAGCACCUCAGACAAUGCCCCAGCAUCCCAAAUCCUUCUGUGCACGCAGCGUGUGUGCAUGCGCGUGCACGUACGCCGUCUGUCUGACCGUCUCCUAUCACCUGUCCACUGAUCAGACCUCGUUUUCUUCCACUUCUGCCUCCCCGCUUGUUAUUUGUCUCUGUGUUAUCUAACAAAAUGAGCUUGGAGAAGGUCGUGUCCCGCUGUAGGAGCCGGCUGAAACAGGAAAUAUCCGAUCCGAGGGGAAGAACGGCAGGCUUCAGACAGCCGGUUCCCACACUCCAAACCCCCAACGUUGCGUUGCCGGGCCUCAAUGCCGGGUGUUCAGGGAGCGGGGAGGAACUGGUUAGCAGAUUAAAGACAACCCGCAGCAACGGCUGUGAUGGCAUGUCGGGACAAGCCGUGCACAGAGGAGGUAUUAGCAAAAACAGCAGGUGGAAGGUGUUAUGUAAGGAGAGAGGAGGGUUGGAGAAACAUCAGGCUUCCUUUGCGUCCGCUUGUGUCGACCUGUCUGCGCUCAUCCGGCGUGCUGCGCGUUGAAAUGUGAACACGCUCCUUAUUUGUCCUCAGCUGCGCGGCCGGGACGGCGCUGAGAGAAUGAAUGUCAGAGUCCGUCCCGCAGACGCCUUUUCUGUCCGAUAAACAGAGUAUUCCGUAGCAGCGCUGCGAGAGCCGAGCUGCUUUUGUUCUCCCGGCUCCCUGCACACUUGAGCCGGCCUUUCAGCACGAUAGACUCAACCUUUCAAUCCUCAUCAGACGUUAUCGCAGUGUUUACGUCCCCGAGGCGUGAGGGACAGAUUGGUUUCCCAUUUUAGGCCUCCUGCCAUAUCUGUUGCUAAACAUAUCGAAAUGCAUGAACAUACUGUGAUGGAAAAGGGACAGAAAAAUAUAUAUACACAUAUAUACGUGGCCAGGAUGCUUGUCCCCCCCCCCCCCCCCCCCCCUCACCUCCUCCCACCCAACCACCCGUCUUGCCAGAUUUGAUCAAAUCAUUAUCACCAGCCAUGCGAGAGGAGCUGAUGAAUAAUGUAUGUGAUGCUCGGCCACAAUAGCAAACCCCUUCUGGCCUGCUACCUUUUUCUUAGUCAGAGCAGCUACCGGUUGCUAUCAGCUGAUCCCUGACUAGCGCUAAAACAACCAUACGUGCACAUCCAGCACAUUGCCUGGUUUGCACACCAAAUCAUGUGUCUCGCGCACAGACGAAUAAAUUGGACAGGUGUACAGAAAGACUCAACAGCUGACGGAGCCUCAACCUGCAGAAGGCGCCGGCAUCAGGUGUUACUCUGCAACCGUUACUGUUUAACAUUAAGAAAGAGUGACGUGCCUUAGAUGUGAGUCUGUGAUGGACAGCGUGGGUUUAACACCACAGGUGAAACGUCAAUUAUGUCUCCACGGUUAUGUAUGCUACAGACAGACCGCUACCAGCAUCUCUGCAGCUCACUGAUCAACACAUUCUAUUUCGUUGAUUCAUUGCACCAAAAAAGGAAAAUGACAAGCCGGAAGGAUGCUCCCAGAUACUUUAGUCUGUACUCAUAAGGCACUCCUUGAAACACAUAAGAAGUCGCAGUUGGUCGCUCACACGCAGCUCGAACACAGGAAGUAAAACCACUGGAGACACGACAGGAAACUCACUAAUAGCCUAUUGUUUUCUAGUUUAUGCUGAUAAUAAUUAUAACAAACAGAAAGAUGAACCGUCCAAGAGGCAGAACUAGUCUAUUCCAGUUGGGUUUAAAUUGUAAUCCAAUGCGAUUAGGAGACACAAAUCAGCAACAAGCAAUGCACAAAAGACAGAAAACGACACGUAAACACCGUGUAAGAGUACAUCUGUGGGGAGCGUUGUGCUAAACCUGUUCAACAACCAACCAACCGGCCAACGGUUUUAACUAACUACUGCAGAGAGUCAUCGUAUCCACGUGCUAAUCUCUUUAAAGGUCUGUAGUUAUAGGAAGCAAAUAAUGAUACGGAGCGAAGGUGAAGACCAAAUAUGUCUUUCAAAUUGUUAGGGGGAAAAAAAAGAACUUGACUCAAAGCCGAUAAUGACAAAGUCAGACAUGUGAGAGUGAGUGACAUUCACAUCACUCUAACCAAGAGAACAGAGGAUAUGGGCGUACAAAGACAAGAUCAAUCGGCCCUCUGGCAAGCAGAACAAACAUCACAGAAAAUCCGAUAUAAUCAGCAAGACAAAGUGUAGAAACCAAGUAAAAGUACCGUAUCACAUCAUAAUCCCCAUCAAUGUAAACAGGGAGCAGCAAUAAUUAGGGGGCUGCAUUCACAGAUAACUAUCUGGGAAUCAAGCAUAUGGGAGGUGUGGGAACAGUGCAAAUGUCUCUUUUGUCUUCAUGCUAGCUCUUCAACUCUCCAACUCGUAUAUUUGUCGACGAAAUGGACAGAAGCGAAAAGAUGCGAACGCGUGUGUUUGAGUCAGCGUGGGAUGUGACAGAGUCGUCUGUGAGGCAGAUAUAAAGCUGCAGCGGGACACACAUCACAUCAACACCCUGACCUCCUUGCAAACUAAUGCAAACUAUCCGAAAACCCAUUUCAUUACUCACCCAGCCCAGUAACUCGCCUGGCUGGAGACACGGAAGCACGCACACAUAUCCAGAUAACCCCACUCUUGUUAUUAAAGUAUGCUCGAACCCCUGCAAGGUUUCAGCCACACAUGUGAAAAGAGUAAGCCUUGUGGAAAUAACGGGAAUUUGGAUUAUACACAAAUACAUAUUACUAUCCACAUAGUCGAAUUUCCACUGUUAUUCCCAUGUUUCCUUAAAACUAAUUCUAUUGGAAAAGGUGAAUUAUGCAUCACUGCACACUACCAUUGGAAGUCAAUUUGAUUUGAGAUAUAUCAAUGACAAUUUUCACUGAACAGGGAUUCAAGCAUCAUGGUUUGGAAGAGAUCGGGGUCUAUGAUGGCCGCAUGUUCUGCAUUAAAAGAUUACAAAUGUUAUUUGUCUUAACCUCUGACUUGCUCCCCUUCACACACACAAAACAAACACACACGCCUGCGUACCCUCAUGCACUUCCUGCUCAUUUAAGGAACAUUUAUCAAUGGGCUGUUUCCAGGUCAAGCAGCAGAGACAGAAUUAGACCCCAAGUCGUGCUUGUCGCUUUACAUCAUUCUCUGUCUGUAACACACAGUCAUCUUAAAUUGAUGUAAUUGAACCCCAUUCAGUAGCUUUCACGUUUCCACGCUCAGAACUGGACACAACAAAAGGCUCUACAAACUGGAUGAUUACAGUGAUUUAAACAGUGGUAUUGAUCCCUUUAAUAAUGAUUCUCGGCUGGUUUAAAAUGCAAUGUUUCCUAACAUUGAAUGUUUUAAUGAUGUGAAUUUGAUUUCACACUGAGCGACGUGUAUUGUGAUAAACAACAAAUAGAAACUAUAAAUGAAGAAGUUUCUUCUACAUUUUAAAAAUAAAACAGCAGCGACGUUCAUAACAUGCAGCAGCCUUUUGAACUCAUCAGAGAGAGCUUUUAACACAACCGCCGCCGUAUCUACAGAGUUUCAGCCACUUCAGCUAAAAGUUGACUGCGCCAGCAAAAAAUGGGGAGGAGGAGACGGGAGAUGAGGUUAAGAGGUUGAGUGUGGGAAAAGGAGGGGAGGAGAGGGAAUGAAGGAUUAAAGCAUCAGAAGGUGUAGUGUUCCUCUAAAAGAUGACGGGCUGAUGGCUGCAGAGGAGUAAUCCCUGUAAAUGGGAGCGAGUUUAGCAGUUACCACCCACAAGCACAGUCACACACACUAAUGCAUUCAGACAUCCACGUUCGUUUGUUUAAAUUUGUUAAGAUUUAAAUAUUAUUGACCACAAACGACAUGCAUGUUGUACACAACAACAUAUUAUUUGUUAGUGUAUUAUGCAAAAAUAUUUCCGCAAGUCAAAUAGCAUGCGCUAAUCGUUUUGGGCUGGUGUAAUCCUUGAACAUAAAGUUGAAACAACAAAAAAAAAAAAGAACAGGAGUGUUUUGCUCUUCCUCCUGCGUGCGGCCGAAUCGGGAUGGUGCGACCCUGCUGAAACAGAAGUGCGUUGAUAGGCUCGUGUUGUGUUAACUGGCUCGCUGAAAUAAUCAGAAGCACAAAUUGCUAGAAAGAGGAAGACAACAGGCGGCAUC